AAAAAACAGAGAAAAGGAGAGAGAGACGCACGAGAAACAGAGUCCUGGAUUCCCCUCAUCUCUCCCAAAUCGCCGCCAUCCAUCGCCUCGUAUCCCUCCUCCGACCCACCUCGCCGCCGGCCCUCCCCCUCCGCUCCUCCCACCUCGCAGCUCCAGUGGCUGCCGGAUCCGCCCAAUCCCAACCCACUCAUCCCUCUCGCGUCCCAUCUCCCUCUCUUCACGCGGCUCCUUCUGCGCCACCUGCGGCGGUUGACCCAGGCGACGUCCGGCGAACCCCGCCUGAGGCGCCCUCGCACCGCGGCGCCCUCCCAUCCGGUUAGAUCCGGCGCUCGCGGUCACCAAAGCCCACCCGCGACCCUCCCCCCAUGGCUAUUAGGGUUUCAGGUGUCGGCUCCGGUGGCCGUCGUCCACCUCCCGUCCGGGAGGAACCGCCAGUGGACAUCCUUGCAGCUGCUCGGGACAAAGCAGCCAUGGAGCUUCCUCCUGCUCCUCUGGCCUCGGGCGAGUUGGUCCACUCCUCCCCUCUGCUCUGGUUCGUAGCACAUCAGGACCAGUAGUGGCUUCAAAUUAACCCCGAGUUGCAUAUUCUUUCUAGGGCAACAACAUUGUAGGGAACGAUUGUCUUUCUAGUAAGCUAUUCUGAAGCCCAUCUACGUCUUGGAGCAGCAACCAGUGUGUUUGAGGUAAUUUGUACAGAAAACACCAGGUAUAUGGUUAGGAAUCAGGUCGGAGUCUAAUUACAGUAUCUCCCCAAGGCCCCAAUCCUUUUCUUUUCCAAUCUAUAAUAUUCUACUGUUAAGGUUUUUACAAUGCAAAAAUCCAACAUAUGUUCUUUUAGGCUAAUUACUAAAUAAAUCUAACGAUAGUCCAUGUGGCGGCGGAGGUGUAGCGAUGGUAGUUUGAAGCAGAUUAGGCGGCCGCAAGCGUCUUUGGCGCCAAGGCUGUUGAGUGAAGGAACUGGUCGUGUGGCGAUUCGUUUUCUAUUCUCCAUCCUUUAAGGUCAUAACAGAAGAAAGAACUAUGUGUUGGAACCGCAGCGCUCUAGCUACCUCUCCUCUCACUCAAACGGAGGUGGAAGAAGAAGAACAGUGCACACAAGAUUUUCCGGCCGGCGCACGAACGCCCCAAUCCUUUUCUUCCUUACAAUGGCUACAUGGCUACACCCGAUUCACGCAACCAGCACAAAGGCAGGGGAUUUAUAUCCGGUCUAGCACAGACGCACGCACAGCACUAACCCCGGCCACCACGCACGCACGCCUACCGGCCACCUACCUGCUGACUCCUACAUGCAUGCACGAUCUGUCCGGCCGCGCGCAUAGCGCGCCACACUACAAGCACUACACCACCAGCUCAAACAGAUUGACUGGCUCCCCGCUACUCCCGCUCAGCUGGACGCGGCCACACACCGGCCUCCGGCUUGAGCCUAGACACACAUAUGCGGCACACAUACGUGCACCUAUGCGCCAUCCACACACACAUGGCUUAUUGCCAACACUAUGCAAUUGACUUGAUCACUAUUGUUUUAUCUAGAAAAAAAAUAUGUUUUGUACGCGUGUAUUGAUGAGUACUCCUCUUGACUCGAUUGUGUUGCACGGAGUGAAAGGAAAGCAUCCAGUUGGGGUGGUCUGCAGCUCUGAUCACCUCCAGCAGCACCACAUAAUCAAAGUUCCAAACAGUAGUGCUGCACUUCUGCCUCCAGCCAGCAUUUCACUUUCAUGUUUAUAGGUGGCUUAACAUGAUCAUUUGAUGUGUAUCUUAUGUAGAAGAUUUGAAUGAUGUACGUGUUUAUUUCAGAAAAAAUUUCUUAAUGACGCCUUGCAUAUAUACAAGACAGAUAUUCAUGUACAUUAGCUUUAGUUUUGUUUGUUAACUAGAAACUGUGGUUUCCUUUUUUAACCGAAAUCACUAAAGCAUGGGAUGCAUUUGGGGUUUCCAGAUAGCUAAUAUUAGGAGCACACAAGAUUUAGACUCCUGCUAUGUAAUUAAAGGAAAUCAGAACAUUCACCAAUAUCUUCUGUAUAUUUUCUAGCCUUGGGUUCCUGACUUUUUCAUACAAAUUAUAAUUUGGAAACUUUAUUUAUAGGAAUGAUAAAUAGUAUGUACAAAUGCCUUUACUAAAAUUAAAUUUACUUUAGCCACAUGGAAGCCAACACAAUAUCACAUGUAAUAUUUCUCAGUUAGUCAAAAGUAUGCUUCUUUUAAAAUUUAUGGUUCUAAUAUUGUUUUUCUCACAUAAAUAUGUUCCAGUUAUAUAUGGUAAACUAAAACUGUCUAGCCUAUGCAGAAGCACGGGUUAAUGACUAGUCUAGCUAACUCGGGGAUAAAUUCAUUGAGCCAGAUGUAAAGUUGCCAAGGUAGUAACUAGUACACAUAGAACAUGAGGAAUAUAGGUUGCUCUUCUUUUAUUAAGUACGAAUUGAUCUUGAUGAAGUUUACUUCUUUUGCACUGUUCUAGAGAUGCAUGAGACACCUGUAACCUUUUUCCCUUGGUUUUGAAGCUACACGCACGAACUCGAUGUACGGUGACUCCAUGGAGCAAGUCGAGUUCGUGGAGCAAGUCAUGGACGAUGCCAUGGAAGUUUGACUGUAGGUGUACAGAAUUAGCAAUGGAUCUCUAGGCUGGUGAUGACUAUGUAAAUUUGUUUCAGUGGAUCUGGGGCUGUAGUUUUGUUCCAAAGCGUGUUUCAGAUGACUAAAACCGUUUUGGCUCAGUUUGCUAACUAAAUGGAGAAGAGAAAAGAAGUGGCUGUGUCAUAUAUUGUGGCGUCCUGAUUAGUCAUCAAUGACAACUAACACUCAUGCCGGUAUCUUUUCACAAUCAUAAUAGGGACGUAGCUCUUGCUAUAGUUGUAAGUUGUGAUCCUAAAUUUAAACAUGAUGAUGCUAAAAUGACAAAUGAAUUCUUGGUAGUGCAUGUCGAUAUGGCACUUGUGAAAACUGAAGAUUUGGUACGGAGUCGCGAAAGCUGCAAUACUCUCGAUAAUGCAGAAAAAAAAGAUUGCAUGGCCUUCAACCUUUAUUCAAAAGAUAUAUGGAUGAUUAUAAUGGUGCGUGGCAAGUAUAUUGCAAUGACGAUGAUGUUCCGGUUCAUGAUGAUAAUGAUGUUCCGGUCCAUGAUGAUGAUGAUGGAUGCUAUCAGUUUUAGUUAAGUUGUAGGGAUGAUGUUUCUGUCGGAUGGUGUUCCCCGGUUAAGUUUAGUUAAGUUGUAGGGAUGUUGAAGGAUGCUUUCUAUUUAAGUUUCGCUGUCAAGAAAAUAUUUAGGUUAUGCAUCACAUUUCGAUGAUGUUUCCCUUGUAAUAUCAACCAUUGUAAUCCAACAGCUUUAUCCAAUAUAUGAUUUCUUUCUCUAA